GAUGAAGAACGCAGCGAAAUGCGAUACGUAAUGUGAAUUGCAGAAUUCAGUGAAUCAUCGAGUCUUUGAACGCACAUUGCGCCCCCUGGUAUUCCGGGGGGCAUGCCUGUCCGAGCGUCAUUGCUGCCCUCAAGCUCGGCUUGUGUGUUGGGCCUCCGUCCUCCUCCCGGGGGACGGGCCCGAAAGGCAGCGGCGGCACCGCGUCCGGUCCUCGAGCGUAUGGGGCUUCGUCACCCGCUCUUGUAGGCCCGGCCGGCGCUUGCCGAAACAUCAAUCUUUUUUCCAGGUUGACCUCGGAUCAGGUAGGGAUACCCGCUGAACUUAAGCAUAUCAAUAAGCGGAGGA
rnacentral:misc_RNA from 1 species